UACGAGGUGGCUAGCGUUGUUCGGAAUCACUGGGCUUAAAGAGCACGUAGGCGGUCUGUCAAGCGCUCUGUGAAAUCCCUCGGCUCAACCGAGGAAUGGCUUGGCGAACUGGCAGACUUGAGGCAGGUAGGGGCGUGUGGAACUCUUGGUGGAGCGGUGAAAUGCGUAGAUAUCAAGAGGAACGCCGGAGGCGAAAGCGACACGCUGGGCCUGUCCUGACGCUGAGGUGCGAAAGCCAGGGGAGCGAACGGGAUUAGAUACCCGCGUA
rnacentral:rRNA from 1 species